AUUGAACGCUGGCGGCAGGCUUAACACAUGCAAGUCGAGCGAGCGGCGGACGGGUGCGUCAUGUCUGGGAAACUGCCUGAUGGAGGGGGAUAACUACUGGAAACGGUAGCUAAUCCCGCAUCCCAUCAGAUGUGCCCAGCUGGGAUUAGCUAGUAGGUGGGGUAAUGGCUCACCUAGGCGACGAUCCCGAGCUGGUCUGCGAGGAUGACCAGCCACACUGGAACUGAGACACGGUCCAGACUCCUACGGUAGGCAGCAGUGGGGAAUAUUGAACAAUGGGCGCAAGCCUGAUGCAGCCAUGCCGCGUGUGUGAAGAAGGCCUUCGGGUUGUAAAGCACUUUCAGCGAGGAGGCGUUACUCGCAGAAGAAGCACCGGCUAACUCCGUGCCAGCAGCCGCGGUAAUUC
rnacentral:rRNA from 1 species